GGCGAGCGAGAGCGCGAGGGAGCGCGCGGAGUGUGUCUGGGUGGACCCCAGGGACAGAAAUUAACAUCGGCGAGAUGAUUCCCUGCCUACUUCUGAGACUCUUUUCGGGAACACAACUCGUCCCCAUCUGCCACCAGCCUGAGAUGAGACAAAUGCGAUUAUCCACGUUGGGGAAUCGCAGGUAGCCUCCUGCCAACCCACCCCAGGACACAGGAGAAACUAAAAAGGAAUUCGACCUGGGCUGACACCCCAAGGAAGGAGGACUUGGGGUGGGGGGAUGUGGCAGUUUAUCAGGAUGGGACAUCCAGUGGGUUUCCAGUCUUGGAUUGAUACAUCUGUGUCUAAAAGAGAUUUUUAGUCCAGAAUCGCCAAGGACAGCCAAUUUCUGGUGUGGUUGAAAGAGGUGGCUUUCAGCUCCUUUGCUGUUUCCUCUGAGAAGGAUCCAGAAACCACUUGGCAGGGCAGUUUCUACUAAAGAAAACUUUGGCCUGUUUGGUUGAUGACUAUCGAAGCUGGUUCGAAUAGGCCACCCCGCAUCUAGUUACGUGUGGCCACUAACUGCCAAUUCCCACUGGUAAUUUUGCUAUUAAACAUACAGUCUCAGCCAUAAAUGAUACACUGGAGAGGCAUUAAUAAUGUCUGGAGGAUAACAUUCAGAUAAUUAACAGUUGCUAAUAAGUCACAUUCUACACCUCCCUUCUAUUGAAACUCACCCAUCACAUAGUAGGUGUUUAAUAAAAUCCACAGAAAGUA